rnacentral:rRNA from 1 species
GAACCGCACUGAGGUGUACAUACACCUUGAUGGCGAGUGGCGGACGGGUGAGGAAUGCAUCGGAAUCUGCCCAGUCGUGGGGGACAACGCAGGGAAACUUGCGCUAAUACCGCAUACGACCUUCGGGUGAAAGCAGGGGAUCUUCGGACCUUGCGCGAUUGGAUGAGCCGAUGCCGGAUUAGCUAGUUGGCGGGGUAAUGGCCCACCAAGGCGACGAUCCGUAGCUGGUCUGAGAGGAUGAUCAGCCACACUGGGACUGAGACACGGCCCAGACUCCUACGGGAGGCAGCAGUGGGGAAUAUUGGACAAUGGGGGCAACCCUGAUCCAGCAAUGCCGCGUGUGUGAAGAAGGCCUUCGGGUUGUAAAGCACUUUUAUCGGGAACGAAACAUUGUCGGUUAAUACCCGGCAAGACUGACGGUACCCGAGGAAUAAGCACCGGCUAACUCCGUGCCAGCAGCCGCGGUAAU